CACGCAGGCGGCUCGUUAAAUUAGAAGUGAAAGCCCUGGGCUCAACCCGGGAAUUGCUUUUAAGACUGGCGAGCUUGAAUCCGGAAGAGGGCAGUGGAAUUCCAAGUGUAGAGGUGAAAUUCGUAGAUAUUUGGAAGAACACCAGUGGCGAAGGCGACUGCCUGGUCCGGCAUUGACGCUCAUGUGCGAAAGCGUGGGGAGCAAACAGGAUUAGAUACCCUGGUAGUCCACGCCGUAAACGAUGAGUGCUAGUUGUUGGGGUACAUGUACUUCAGUGACGCAGCUAACGCAUUAAGCACUCCGCCUGGGGAUACGGCCGCAAGGUUAAA
rnacentral:rRNA from 1 species